AGAAAUUCCAUGUUCCUUUGUUCUUUAUGACAGGCUGGUCUGAAUGGAAAGAUUUGAAAACUCCCUAAACUCUUUGAACAUGGAGAACAUUGAUCUUCACAAACCAUUUGAAACACCCUAAGGAGUGCCUCGCCCACAGCCUGCGCUAAAGAAAAUAGUCAUUAAAUAAUCGAGUGAGAGGAGAGCAGGCUUAAAAGAGCAAACGGAUUGACCACCAUUCCUCUUGGUGCCACACAGCAGCUCAGCUACCUGUUUAGAAGAUUAACAACAGUUGGAUGCAGACCCACGAUCACUCUGGGCUUUGGAGUAGUCAUGAUUCGUAGCGGGAAUGGCACCUCAAGUAGACUAGCACAGUUGUAGGACAAAAAAUUUUGGCGCCAGAGGACAGGAGUGGGAGAGAAGGUUGCAGGAGACAAGCAGGGCCCGAGGAAGAAAGAGCCAGAGGCAGAGGAAGUGAUCCGCACGUGGACCGAUGGAGCAAGACCUAGGAGCAAGGGAGAGGCUAGACUCCGAGAGGAGAUGCACUAUUUCUCUAUCUGAAGGGAAACAGAAGAUCCGUGAAGUUCUAAAAUAAAUUCAGAGGGCCUGAGGAGGAAAGUUGGUGGCAAUCAUGACAGAUGGCUUCAACUCUUUAUGAAAAGUGGGAGGCAAGGUCACGUGAAAUUUUUGAGUGUAUUUAAAUGACAUGCAUUUACAUUUUCAUACUAAAGACCUAUUCUGAACCUGGUUCAAUUUUUUGAAAAAAAAAAUAAAAAAAAAAGGAACUGUCAUUCAUAAUCAAGGCAUAGAUAACAAAUAUUUUACAACAGAACGGCGACGAACGUUAUAAAUGUUAACCUUUGGUUUAUCUCAGCCAUAAUGUAUCCCCAUUACGGGUACGUGUCCUCACUUUAGGAAAAUGCCAUGGUUGAAACAGAAGUAGCUUUUAAAGACAUAUUCUGGGGGAUUGUUUUGUAAAACCAUUUACUUAAU